GUCCCUAUUGCAUAACUGGAUAAUGCAAUCCCCUCCUAAGGGAUAGCUCCUGGUUCGAGUCCGGGUGGGGACGCCA
rnacentral:tRNA from 1 species